AGUCGCGCGAGAAGUGACCUUCGGGUCGCGAGUACAGCGGCAGACGGGUGAGUAACACGUGGGUAACCUAUCCUUGAGUGGGGGACAACCCGGGGAAACCCGGGCUAAUACCGCAUAACAUCUCAGAAAUUUCGGAAUUUGAGAUCAAAGCAGGGGAUCUUCGGACCUUGUGCUUAAGGAGGGGCCCGCGCCCGAUUAGCUUGUUGGCGGGGUAAUGGCCCACCAAGGCAACGAUCGGUAGCCGGCCUGAGAGGGCGAUCGGCCACACUGGGACUGAGGCACGGCCCAGACUCCUACGGGAGGCAGCAGUGAGGAAUCAUGCGCAAUGGGGGAAACCCUGACGCUGCGACGCCGCGUGGACGAUGAAGGCCUUCGGGUCGUAAAGUCCUGUCGAGAGGGAAGAAAGCUGUUGUCGAUAAUACC
rnacentral:rRNA from 1 species